AGCUUGGUGAGUACUGGAGGAGAGCAGGGCAUUCUGCAAAAUAUCACACAGUUCGGGUCUUUCCCUAAGAUAAUUUUUAAAAAGUCAUAUAGGUAGACAAUAUAUUAUCGGACUCCCCCUUGGUUCCUCCCAGAUAACAUCUCUCUGAGUCUUGGGUCACCAUGGUAACAGACGCCUAAGGAACUAAGAGUCAACCUCUGUCUGUUUCUUGCUGGCUGAGAGUAGCACCCCACAAACUGGACUUGCACAAGUGUCCAAUAGGCGGCCUCCUGACAUCAUGGAACCAAAAACUCCACACCAAGAUCAUGUUAAUGCCACCAUUUUGAGAGUUUGUUUCCUAUGAAGAGCCAUGAAGCUUGACUACACUUGUGCAGAUCGUCAGUUUUCUCCUUCCUCGUUGCCUCCAGUCAUCUCCCUCCACACUGCAGACCACCUUGCCCCUCUACCCCAUAAAUAUCUCUAGUCCUCAUGUUUGGGGAGGCAGAUUUGAGACUUGUUCUCCCAUUUCCUCACUUGGCUGCCUUGUGAAUAAACCCUUUCUCUGCUGCAAACUCAUCAUCUUGGUGAUCAGCAUUUGGCGUGAAAGGCAAAAUGAACCUGGUUCGCUAAGAACAGUACUUAGCUUUUAUUACAAUUCCCGGCUGAGGAAUUGACAUGUGAUUAAGACAUAUCUCAUCAGGGUCUUCCAAGUGUUUCAUAUAUGAAUGAGUUGCUGAGAUAAGGAGGUGGAAUAUGAAGCUGCCGGCACUUAUUGUGGCAGCCACACAUAGAAAGCUGAGAGAUUGAUUAAAGCCUUUUGACAACAUUUUUGAACCACUGAAUCCAGUCAUAUUUGAGUUCCCCAUUAUUUGAAUAUUCAAUUUUCCUUUUUCACUUCAGCUAAUUUUAGUAGAGUUUCCUGCAUUUGGAACCAAAAUGAUCCUGCUGGAGGAAAGAGGGCUAAUUGCAAAGCACAAACUUUGAGAUAUUUCUCCCUGAAACCAAAACUACCGGACUUCUCUCAGUAAGGUAGUAACACGCAUUUUGUGAUACAGUUUGGAAUUAUUCUGUCAAACUGCAUACAUUUGACUUCCUGAAGCUGGAGGAGUGGCUUCAACUAGUGAUAUUCUGCCCCUUUUGGAGCCCUUUAUUCUGUCAGAGACCAAUCAUAUUUGGAGGUGUUUUGGGGAGCUAGAGGGGAGAGUCGACAUUGCAUGCCAUUGUUUUUCCAAACUGGCUUUAUGUAGGUCCUCUUGUUUUAUGCCUUUUUCAGUAGGAAUAAUGUGAGCCUUCUAUUUAGAGCUUGGUAGAACAAACAUAAUAUAGAAAAAGCCUUAGGAAGAGUUACCGAAAUCAAAUUAAGGACACGUCUGUUCUGAGCAGAGAUAGAGAAUAUAUUCCUCAGUUUAUGGACAUAAAACUGAAUGUUCUGUUAAAUUUCAUAGAUAUCAAAAUCCGAAUGUGAAAUACUCUCAGUUCCAAGCUAUAAUCAACCAUGUAUGACGUUGUUUAUGAGAUUUAAAAGUUAAUUACUCAAGUAGCAGUUUAAGCAAAAUCUAUUUCCGUUAAUGGUUAGCUCAGUAAGAGUUAAGAGUGUGAGGCAGGAUUAAGAAAACAAAAUCCUACUUAAUCAUUCACAGGAUAAAGUAUAAUGACUAGACUAUUGGAGUGGUGGAUAAAUCUGAGGCUGAGGGAUAGUUCCUCAGAUCCCCUCCUCUACACACAUGAGGUUUGUCAAUCUUCUUCAGAGAUGUUCAUGAAUGAGCUCUGUGCCCUCACAGAGAUCCCACUGGAUAGAUUCUCAUCAUUCUUUCUGAUUUCAAGAUAGAAGGAAGAGCCAGAGGAAAUCCCAAAUCCUUUUUCUGACUUGAGCAUUUAGAGAAUCAGCUCCAUUGAUGAACUGGGUCUAGAUCAAACGAUAUUGACAGCUGGACUAUGCAUCCUCAGCCGAGAUGAGAAAUCCUGUUGGAGUCAGCGAAUGCAGUUUCUGAUAGUAAAAUCCAUUAAAUCUGUUUGUAAGGCAACGUUUAAGAAAAAGAUUAUAUUUUUUUAAAAAAGCUGUUUUUGUUGCUGUCUUAUGCUGUUGCUACUGUUGUGUAGUUAGCCUAUCUUUGACUCCUGUCUCAUGGAUAUUGACAGAUAUUUCUGAUUUAGUACUCACCACCUCUCCCACAACUGUUUAGUUAUCAUGAUCUAAAAGACUGCUUUACAAUCGUCCUUCAGACUUUUGUUCAAACCAAUGACAAUCAGUCUACAGAUAUUAAGCUGGCAGUCCUGAUUUUUGUACCUGCACCAGCAAUGAUUCAUCAGGCCCAAAGAAAUUGUAAGAUGUCAUUAAUUUUAUGAUACAGACUGAUUUCAGCUUUGCAAUAAGAAAAAAUAUGUUCAGG
rnacentral:lncRNA from 1 species